ACACAAAGCACAUCGUUUAAUAGACUUAACCACAGAAGCACAUAUCUGCUUGCUGAAUAAUUGAUACAGCGGUAAUUGGUAGCCGAGUGCAAAUUACUCUCGGAGCGUAUUUAUGUCACAUGUAAAAUUCAUAUUUUUUUCUGUGAAGACGGCGGUUUGCUGAUAUUC